CUGACCUCAAGUGAUCCACCUGCCUCAGCC
rnacentral:piRNA from 1 species